UUGUGUGACGUCAUACAAACUAUUUUUAUCCCCAAAGUUUUGGGAGGGAAUCCUGUCAGCAGAAAUAAAAGUACCUGUCAUCAACAUCGUGAAAACGUGAGGUGUUGUGUUCAGAUCCCAUGUCAGGACAAAUAUAAUCCAUUCAUAUUUCUAGUAUCUUUGUGAUACCACCCAUGUAAUUUGCUUUACCUCUUGUGAAUAUAUUGCGCACAUUGUAUUAUCCACCGGUAUAAUUUACUUUGCCAAAUGUGAAUGCAUAUUUCAAUUUCAUAGUAAAUAUAUUCAUAUUUCUUAAUCUUAUCAUUUUUGAUUCUCUUUAAAAAAUGUGCUCUCCUUUUACCUGAAACUGAAAAUUUAUAUUUCCUAUUUUAUUACCAGUGGCAAUCUACUUUAAGAUGAAGUUUGAUAAUAUAGACACCAUAUUAUAGUAUAUAAUUGCAAGAAGAAAUAUUAUGAGACUUUAAGCAUUAAAAUAAAUGCGAAAAUAAGUUGAAGAUCGGAUUGAAUGUGUUGUAUGUGUAGUCAUAAAAAAGAAUUAAUGAAAGAAAAGUGUUCUUUUCACAAUUUUCUUCCUAUUCAGUCAGGUUAGGUGUGGAAUAAUAAUUAAAAUCACAAUGCUCUGCAUUCUUCCCUCCAAAAAAAAACAAAAAACAACAAUAACACCUAGGCCAUGGUCUUCUGCAAUGACUACUAUUUCCCAGAACCAGGUUUGAUGCCAUAAGUCAUAAUGAAAAUCAAAAUCAUACAUACACUGUGGUUAUGACAUUUAGGAAAACGAUUGUAAAUUCCUUAUGUAUCAUAACUUCCUCCCCAGGGAUCAACUACAUGAAGAACUAGCAAAUAUGCUCGUGGCACUCCUGUAGUACAAAUAAGUCAUAUUGUCCAAAACUUGUGAACUAAGAAUCUGCAAAUCUAUUCUUAAAUGGUGCGUUUAAUGAAGUAAAUUUCUCAUAAGUGGUUUUCAAGAUAGUUUUCAUUGAGAAACAUGCUUCAUUUGAAACCUGACAACUACAGCAUUUAGAUUUGUUGUUUGCUGCAUUUAUUUGUUAUUUAUUUUUUUUUUUUUUGCAAGCCUAUAGCAUCAAGUGGAAAUAAAUUUUAACAAAUGCUGACACAUAUAAUGUAUGCAUUUAAAUUGUUAUAGGCAUAUCAUGUAUUUAUUAAAAAACUUGUUACCUUGAUACAAACUUUAACUCUUGUAGAGCUGGUCAGCUAUACUUGUUUUUAUAUUCUUAGCACCUUCAUUGAAGCGUGUACCUUCACCUCUCCAUAUUUCUCAGAUUCAAAGUUAUCAGAGUGGGGUGACUAUGUGAGGUGACCUCUCAGAUGACAAGUCCUCUCCAUUUGACUACCGUCAGUUGUAACCUAGACUUAUUUCCUUUGCUUCGACUACAACAGUUUUAUUAGACCCAACACCGUUGCAAGAAGCACGGAAACUGAAUUUCGAUGAAUGUGGCACAAUUUCUUAUAAAAAGUUCGUGCACAUAUUCCAGGACUGAAUUCACACACUUCAGCAGCGAGUGAACUGCAUGGAUUCGUAUUCUCAGCUGGGAAUACAUUCUUCUUUCUGAGAUCGGAACAAGGAUGGUAAUGAGUGAAGUAAACGUGUGCUUGCAGUGGUUCUGAAUACGGCAAGGAAGCUAUAAAAUUUUCAGAAAAUCGACAACGGUGUGGAAACACGAUGCCUUUAGUGUCAGCUGCUUUCGCACAUGGGAAGUAUUAAUAUGUUUAUGAAAAUGGUUAUUUUACUCUUGAAUGUGAUACUUCCACCAGAGAACAUACUACAUAGCAGUAGGUGCAGUGUUUCCAAAGCUCCAUUUCGUCAAAGUCGUGUCAAUGUAUUGAAAACACGAAAGCAGGAACUGGUUUGACCUCCUGAGUAACUUAAGACCGCAGAUAUAAUUUAUCAAUGUCUAUGUUCCAUCAAAACAACUUCGUUCCUCGACAGACCACGCUACCCCAUACCUGCCAAAAGCUCGCACCAGAAGGUGUGGUAAGCGAUCCUUUUUUUAUGCUGGAGUGGAACUAUGGAACUGGCUGGCAUUCUCAGUUCGAGCCAUUUCAGACUGUUGAGUUUCAAGAGGGCGUUAAAGGCGUUCUUGCUUCGGAAAUACUUCAUGCAGUGACUCUAUUCUUACUGCAUUCCUAUAUGUUUUCCAUGGUUAAGAUGCGUGUAUUUUGUCAAGUGUGUGUUUGGGUGAGUGGGUGAAUGUUUUGAUGAGGCUACUAUUAUUUUACACUUUUCUCUUAUCAAUUGUAUUCCAUAUUCAUGGUCUGGUAAUGCAAAGGGCGGAAAGUCUGACCACAUGCUGGUAGUCCACACUCAACAAGCAACCUUAUCAUUGUUAAAUAACAAAAUUAUGCACACAUCCACAAAGAAGAAGUUAAAAUAAAAAAUCUCUAUAUUUA